UACGAAAGGGGCUAGCGAUGUUCGGAGUUACUGGGCGUAAAGCGCACGUAGGCGGCCUAGCAAGUUGGGGGUGAAAUCCCAGGGCUCAACCCUGGAACUGCCUUCAAAACUGCUAAGCUUGAGGAUGUGAGAGGUUGGCGGAAUUCCGAGUGUAGAGGUGAAAUUCGUAGAUAUUCGGAAGAACACCAGUGGCGAAGGCGGCCAACUGGCACAUUUCUGACGCUGAGGUGCGAAAGCGUGUGGAGCAAACAGG
rnacentral:rRNA from 1 species